CACAGAUAUGGUAUUCUGUAUUCUGUACAAUAUUUGGUGGACUUUAUGGUAUUUUGCAUCACCUUGGUGAGAUCAAAAACUCACAAGCCAGGUCCAUGAAAUUGUUGGAUGAAUUAACGGUAGAUUUGGAACAUUGACAGCUGUUCCAAUACAUCACUUGGAUCGCUCUCUUGAUUUCCAUGCUUUAUGUGCUCUAUAUGCUGUCACAGUGAACUAAAUGAUACUGUUGUUGAGGCGGAAAUACGAAUUCGAGAUGCAACACCUGAUUUUCCUAAUAAUGAUGCAAUUAAAGGCUAUUUGCGCGCUAAUAAUCGAUUGCUUAUACUGAUGUGACAAGCGAAAUAGAAAAUGAUACUUAAUUUUGAAGAUUUUGUGUUGGGCAGCUGUAGAAUAUUUUGUGCUGAAAGUAGUAGAAUAUGUUGAAUAUUUAAGACUACUUGAAUACUUAAAGAACAUUUUGUCGUUGAUGACAGUGUUGAAUGUUUUAAACUAAUUUGUGGAUUGUUAAUACAAUGUUGAAUGUUUUA